UUCGAUAUUGUUUUUGUAGCAAUACUUUCGGCAACUUUCGUACUUAAUUUCGUGUUUAUAGUUGGAGCCGUUACAUUUACUGUUCUUAACCAAAAAAAGGAUACUACAAACGACGCUAAGCCGCUACAGUAUAUGCCUUCUACUAGCCGACCGAGCCUUGUCCCGACACUGCCUCAAGUUAUGAUGUACAAUGCGCUGGUCAGAAGUAACAAUUCAAGCACCGUGUUCAACUAAACAGUACGAAGAUUAAAAAAAAAUGAAAGAGUAGUAAAGAGCUUCUUUUUUACAAAA